rnacentral:rRNA from 1 species
UACAUAGGGAGCAAGCGUUAUCCGGAAUGAUUGGGCGUAAAGCGUCUGUAGGUGGUUCAAAAAGUCUACUGUCAAAUACGUUGGCUCAACCAACGGCAGGCAUUAGAGUACUAUUGAACUAGAGUGUGGUAGAGGUAGAGGGAAUCCCUAGCGUAACAGUGAAAUGUGUAGAUUUUAGGGAGAACACCAGCGGCGAAGGCGCUCUACUGGGCCAUUACUGACACUGAGAGACGAAAGCUAAGGGAGCGAAAGGG